rnacentral:rRNA from 1 species
UUAAGUUAGAAAGGGCGCACGGUGGAUGCCUUGACACUAGGAGUCGAUGAAGGACGGGACUAACGCCGAUAUGCUUCGGGGAGCUGUAAGUAAGCUUUGAUCCGAAGAUUUCCGAAUGGGGAAACCCACCAUACGUAAUGGUAUGGUAUCCUUAUCUGAAUACAUAGGGUAAGGAAGACAGACCCAGGGAACUGAAACAUCUAAGUACCUGGAGGAAGAGAAAGCAAAUGCGAUUUCCUGAGUAGCGGCGAGCGAAACGGAACAUAGCCCAAACCAAGAGGCUUGCCUCUUGGGGUUGUAGGACAUUCUAUACGGAGUUACAAAGGAACGAGGUAGACGAAGCGACCUGGAAAGGUCCGUCGUAGAGGGUAACAACCCCGUAGUCGAAACUUCGUUCUCUCUUGAAUGUAUCCUGAGUACGGCGGAACACGUGAAAUUCCGUCGGAAUCUGGGAGGACCAUCUCCCAAGGCUAAAUACUCCCUAGUGAUCGAUAGUGAACCAGUACCGUGAGGGAAAGGUGAAAAGCACCCCGGAAGGGGAGUGAAAGAGAUCCUGAAACCGUGUGCCUACAAAUAGUCAGAGCCCGUUAACGGGUGAUGGCGUGCCUUUUGUAGAAUGAACCGGCGAGUUACGAUCCCGUGCGAGGUUAAGCUGAAGAGGCGGAGCCGCAGCGAAAGCGAGUCUGAAUAGGGCGUUUAGUACGUGGUCGUAGACCCGAAACCAGGUGAUCUACCCAUGUCCAGGGUGAAGUUCAGGUAACACUGAAUGGAGGUCCGAACCCACGCACGUUGAAAAGUGCGGGGAUGAGGUGUGGGUAGCGGAGAAAUUCCAAUCGAACCUGGAGAUAGCUGGUUCUCCCCGAAAUAGCUUUAGGGCUAGCCUUAAGUGUAAGAGUCUUGGAGGUAGAGCACUGAUUGGACUAGGGGUCCUCAUCGGAUUACCGAAUUCAGUCAAACUCCGAAUGCCAAUGACUUAUCCUUAGGAGUCAGACUGCGAGUGAUAAGAUCCGUAGUCAAAAGGGAAACAGCCCAGACCGCCAGCUAAGGUCCCAAAGUGUGUAUUAAGUGGAAAAGGAUGUGGAGUUGCUUAGACAACUAGGAUGUUGGCUUAGAAGCAGCCACCAUUUAAAGAGUGCGUAAUAGCUCACUAGUCGAGUGACUCUGCGCCGAAAAUGUACCGGGGCUAAAUACACCACCGAAGCUGCGGAUUGAUACCAAUGGUAUCAGUGGUAGGGGAGCGUUCUAAGGACAGUGAAGUCAGACCGGAAGGACUGGUGGAGUGCUUAGAAGUGAGAAUGCCGGUAUGAGUAGCGAAAGACGGGUGAGAAUCCCGUCCACCGAAUGCCUAAGGUUUCCUGAGGAAGGCUCGUCCGCUCAGGGUUAGUCAGGACCUAAGCCGAGGCCGACAGGCGUAGGCGAUGGACAACAGGUUGAUAUUCCUGUACCACCUCUUUAUCGUUUGAGCAAUGGAGGGACGCAGAAGGAUAGAAGAAGCGUGCGAUUGGUUGUGCACGUCCAAGCAGUUAGGCUGAUAAGUAGGCAAAUCCGCUUAUCGUGAAGGCUGAGCUGUGAUGGGGAAGCUCCUUAUGGAGCGAAGUCUUUGAUUCCCCGCUGCCAAGAAAAGCUUCUAGCGAGAUAAAAGGUGCCUGUACCGCAAACCGACACAGGUAGGCGAGGAGAGAAUCCUAAGGUGUGCGAGAGAACUCUGGUUAAGGAACUCGGCAAAAUGACCCCGUAACUUCGGGAGAAGGGGUGCUUUCUUAACGGAAAGCCGCAGUGAAUAGGCCCAAGCGACUGUUUAGCAAAAACACAGCUCUCUGCGAAGCCGUAAGGCGAAGUAUAGGGGGUGACACCUGCCCGGUGCUGGAAGGUUAAGGAGAGGGGUUAGCGUAAGCGAAGCUCUGAACUGAAGCCCCAGUAAACGGCGGCCGUAACUAUAACGGUCCUAAGGUAGCGAAAUUCCUUGUCGGGUAAGUUCCGACCCGCACGAAAGGUGUAACGAUUUGGGCACUGUCUCAACCAGAGACUCGGUGAAAUUAUAGUACCUGUGAAGAUGCAGGUUACCCGCGACAGGACGGAAAGACCCCGUGGAGCUUUACUGUAGCCUGAUAUUGAAUUUUGGUACAGUUUGUACAGGAUAGGCGGGAGCCAUUGAAACCGGAGCGCUAGCUUCGGUGGAGGCGCUGGUGGGAUACCGCCCUGACUGUAUUGAAAUUCUAACCUACGGGUCUUAUCGACCCGGGAGACAGUGUCAGGUGGGCAGUUUGACUGGGGCGGUCGCCUCCUAAAGUGUAACGGAGGCGCCCAAAGGUUCCCUCAGAAUGGUUGGAAAUCAUUCGUAGAGUGCAAAGGCAUAAGGGAGCUUGACUGCGAGACCUACAAGUCGAGCAGGGACGAAAGUCGGGCUUAGUGAUCCGGUGGUUCCGCAUGGAAGGGCCAUCGCUCAACGGAUAAAAGCUACCCCGGGGAUAACAGGCUUAUCUCCCCCAAGAGUCCACAUCGACGGGGAGGUUUGGCACCUCGAUGUCGGCUCAUCGCAUCCUGGGGCUGUAGUCGGUCCCAAGGGUUGGGCUGUUCGCCCAUUAAAGCGGUACGCGAGCUGGGUUCAGAACGUCGUGAGACAGUUCGGUCCCUAUCCGUCGUGGGCGUAGGAAAUUUGAGAGGAGCUGUCCUUAGUACGAGAGGACCGGGAUGGACGCACCGCUGGUGUACCAGUUGUUCUGCCAAGGGCAUAGCUGGGUAGCUAUGUGCGGAAGGGAUAAGUGCUGAAAGCAUCUAAGCAUGAAGCCCCCCUCAAGAUGAGAUUUCCCAUAGCGUAAGCUAGUAAGAUCCCUGAAAGAUGAUCAGGUUGAUAGGUUCGAGGUGGAAGCAUGGUGACAUGUGGAGCUGACGAAUACUAAUAGAUCGAGGACUUAACCAU